UACGUAGGGGGCGAGCGUUAUCCGGAAUUACUGGGCGUAAAGCGCACGCAGGCGGUUCGCCAAGUUUGGAGUGACAGUUGUCGGCUCAACCGACAAAGGACUUCAAAAACUGGUGAACUUGAGGACAAGAGAGGAACAUGGAACUCCAGGUGUAGUAGUGAAAUGCGUAGAUAUCUGGAAGAACACCAAUGGCGAAGGCAAUGUUCUGGCUCGUUUCUGACGCUCAGGUGCGAAAGCCAGGGGAGCGAACGGG
rnacentral:rRNA from 1 species